UACGUAGGGUGCAAGCGUUGUCCGGAAUUAUUGGGCGUAAAGAGCUCGUAGGCGGUCUGUCACGUCGGCUGUGAAACCCGAGGCUCAACCUCGGGCCUGCAGUCGAUACGGGCAGACUAGAGUUCGGUAGGGGAGACUGGAAUUCCUGGUGUAGCGGUGAAAUGCGCAGAUAUCGAGGAGGAACACCGGUGGCGAAGGCGGGUCUCGUGGGCCGAAACUGACGCUGAGGAGCGAAAGCGUGGGGAGCGAACAGGG
rnacentral:rRNA from 1 species